AGAGUUUGAUCCUGGCUCAGGAUGAACGCUAGCUACAGGCUUAACACAUGCAAGUCGAGGGGCAUCAUGAGGUUUGCUUGCAGACCUUGAUGGCGACCGGCGCACGGGUGAGUAACGCGUAUCCAACCUUCCCCUUAGUAGGGCAUAGCCCGGCGAAAGUCGGAUUAAUACCCUAUGUUCUUCGUCGAUGACAUCUGAAGUGAAGCAAAGGUUUACCGCUAAGGGAUGGGGAUGCGUCUGAUUAGGUAGUAGGCGGGGUAACGGCCCACCUAGCCGUCGAUCAGUAGGGGUUCUGAGAGGAAGGUCCCCCACAUUGGAACUGAGACACGGUCCAAACUCCUACGGGAGGCAGCAGUGAGGAAUAUUGGUCAAUGGGCGCGAGCCUGAACCAGCCAAGUAGCGUGCAGGAUGACGGCCCUAUGGGUUGUAAACUGCUUUUAUCAGGGGAUAAAGUGGGGGACGUGUCCCCCUUUGCAGGUACCUGAUGAAUAAGGACCGGCUAAUUCCGUGCCAGCAGCCGCGGUAAUACGGAAGGUCCGGGCGUUAUCCGGAUUUAUUGGGUUUAAAGGGAGCGCAGGCCGGAGGUCAAGCGUGACGUGAAAUGUAGCCGCUCAACGGGUGCACUGCGUCGCGAACUGGUUUCCUUGAGUGAGUACGACGUCAGCGGAAUUCGUGGUGUAGCGGUGAAAUGCUUAGAUAUCACGAAGAACCCCGAUUGCGAAGGCAGCUGACGAGUCCUUUACUGACGCUAAAGCUCGAAGGUGCGGGUAUCGAACAGGAUUAGAUACCCUGGUAGUCCGCACGGUAAACGAUGGAUGCCCGCUGUCGGCGAUACAAUGUCGGCGGCCAAGCGAAAGCGUUAAGCAUCCCACCUGGGGAGUACGCCGGCAACGGUGAAACUCAAAGGAAUUGACGG
rnacentral:rRNA from 1 species